CCCUUCUCUCCGUUUUCCUCCUUCCUGCCAUGUUGAAUGUGUCAGCCUCUCCUUCACCUUCCACUCUGAUUCUGGCUGCUCUCCUCUACAUUCGGUGGCCUUGGGAACACCAAAGAUGUGGCCUUGGCAACACUUGCACAUCGAGGUCAAGAGGCCAGGAAGAGCAUCCUGCCUUCUAACUCCUUUGAAGUUUACUCAAAAUUCUCAUCCUGAACUGGACUUUUGGACUCAACAACAAAAGGGAUGACGCUGUGUUUCAGAGGAAUUCAUAAGCAGAAUUGAAUUUGUUUUAGUUAACUCCUUAUUUGAUUGGAAUAUUGUCGACUUAACAAAAUAGUAGAAAGAGCAUUGGGCUGAAGUGAGAAGAUUUGAAUUCUAGUCCAAAAUCUGUUACUAACCAGCUCUUUGACCCUGAGAAGUCAUUUGACUUGAAUUAUAGUCUUUUUCUUAUAUGGGAAAGGUGGAGUAUACUCAGAGUCUCUCCUAAGUGCUAAGAUUCUGUGAUUCUAUGAAAUCAGACCAUCAGAGAGGAAUACUGCAGUGUUCUCCUGCAUGGGUUGUAAAUGAGAAAAAAGAAAGAAGGAGAGCAAAAUGACUUAAAGACAUUUUCAAGAAAAAAAGAGGAGAGAAGUCACUGAAAUGGAAAAAUAAACAUAUUAUAUAACUAUUUAUUGCACUAUGCAAUAAAAACAUCUUCAGCAACAGCCACACAAGUGCGGGUAGAGGGUCUGCUUUGAAGAGAGAAAAAAGGCUGCUGCAGAAAAAACAAACCUCAAUUCAUAAUUGGAGCUUUUGUUCUUUCUGGAUUGUUUUGUGAAGAACAUGCUGCCAAAAAACAUUUUUCUUCUGUAACCGCUUCUUUUGAAACUCCAUUCUUUUUUAUUUCAAGGAUGUUUAUUAUCUACUCAUUUCUUUUUAUUUAUUUUUGAAUCAUAUACCCCAAUGUCUAGAUGACUGGGACCACUAGGUUUCAUAUUUCCCAGAUGAGAUUAGUUGUACAGUUCAUUUUGCAGGUUUAUUCAGAGCAUUUCAAUGGCAUUUCACCUACAGUUCACCUAUAUUGAGUCCUAAGAAAUUGAAGGUGUUUCUUGAUAGUUCUCCUGCUCCAUCUUCUUCCAGGGGAUUGAUUUGGCUUCUUAUGUUUUUGUAUUUGGUUGCUCAUUAGAGAUAAGCCUGAUUAUUUGGCAUUGUGUAUUUUCUCUGUUUUAAAAAGGGAAAAUACAACAUGUUAUUAAUUAUUAUGAUAUAAUAAAAAAUGGAGAGAAGGAAAAAG
rnacentral:lncRNA from 1 species